rnacentral:misc_RNA from 1 species
GAUGAAGAACGUAGCGAAAUGCGUUAAGUAAUGUGAAUUGCAGAAUUCAGUGAAUCAUCGAAUCUUUGAACGCACAUUGCGCCCCCUGGUAUUCCGGGGGGCAUGCCUGUUCGAGCGUCAUUUCACCACUCAAGCCUCGCUUGGUAUUGGGCAACGCGGUCCGCCGCGUGCCUCAAAUCGACCGGCUGGGUCUUCUGUCCCCUAAGCGUUGUGGAAACUAUUCGCUAAAGGGUGCUCGGGAGGCUACGCCGUAAAACAAACCCAUUUCUAAGGUUGACCUCGGAUCAGGUAGGGAUACCCGCUGAACUUAAGCAUAUCAAUAAGCGGAGGA